AGCUUGACUGCGAGCGUGACGGCGCGAGCAGGUGCGAAAGCAGGUCAUAGUGAUCCGGUGGUUCUGAAUGGAAGGGCCAUCGCUCAACGGAUAAAAGGUACUCCGGGGAUAACAGGCUGAUACCGCCCAAGAGUUCAUAUCGACGGCGGUGUUUGGCACCUCGAUGUCGGCUCAUCACAUCCUGGGGCUGAAGUAGGUCCCAAGGGUAUGGCUGUUCGCCAUUUAAAGUGGUACGCGAGCUGGGUUUAGAACGUCGUGAGACAGUUCGGUCCCUAUCUGCCGUGGGCGCUGGAGAACUGAGGGGGGCUGCUCCUAGUACGAGAGGACCGGAGUGGACGCAUCACUGGUGUUCGGGUUGUCAUGCCAAUGGCACUGCCCGGUAGCUAAAUGCGGAAGAGAUAAGUGCUGAAAGCAUCUAAGCACGAAACUUGCCCCGAGAUGAGUUCUCCCUGACUCCCUGAGAGUCCUGAAGGAACGUUGAAGACGACGACGUUGAUAGGCCGGGUGUGUAAGCGCAGCGAUGCGUUGAGCUAACCGGUACUAAUGAACCGUGAGG
rnacentral:rRNA from 1 species